rnacentral:lncRNA from 1 species
AGUAUACAGUAUAAUUUUGCUUUUGUCUUCAUAUCUUUAAUACUUCAGUAGACACUAAUAUCGGAUAGCCUUGCUUAUAAUCGUAUCAAUAUUUCACCGACUACAAGAUGGUAAUAAAUCGGUGAAUCUCCUACACUCUAAAGGAAAAAUAGUUGGGAUGCGGUUGUCUCCUGGUGGAUAAUAAAACUCAACAAAUGAACCGAUUUUGAGGAAUUUAUGUGAGAACCAUUCAUUAACGGUUCAAGGAAUAGUAAAGUUGACCCCAGUGGAAUUUGAACACCAAAUGUAGAAGAAAAAAACAAGUGAAGACAAACAUAAAAGUUCCAACAUAAUUAAAUACCAGAAGAUAUUUAGUCUGGCGACUGUCUAUAUCAUAUUAAUUGGAGGAUUGAGCAAGGCACAUGUUGUUCGAGUCAACUGAGCUGAAAAUAAAAACCAGCCCAAAACUGAUGAAGUCCCCUUUCCUUCCUGAUGCCACACAUGGGUUAUUCCACUGGGUCAACGGUGGAGGAAACGAGAGUGACGUUUAUACUCAAAUGGUGUAAAUUUUGACAGCAGGGAGACAAAGGAAGAUGGAACAAUUUGACAGUUUAUCAGGGCAGAAUUCAAAGGAGAAAGCAAGGUAGAACCUAUUGUAGAAAUAAAUAAGAAUCAAAUUUUACCUUGGAUGCGAUGUACCACUAUCAAGAAAUUUCUCCGGAAGCCACGUAUCUCUUUUUAACGUGGAUGAAUUGAGACAUUUUCCUGCCAAAAGAGACAGAUAAUCAACAGAAAUAAUCAAAUGCCCGCAAUGAAUUUUGAACCCAUAUGUUACAGUUUAAUUUCCCAUUUUCAAAGUACCCAACCAGGCAAAAGGUCAAGAGUUUUAAGGGGAAGCGACCGUUGAUACCAUUGACGCCUAUAUUUGACUAGUAUUUUAUUCUACCCAACGUCGACGAAUGAAAGAUAAAGUUAAUCUCAGCGGGAUUUGACCUCAAAACAUAAAGAAUCAGAACAUAUACUGCAAAGAAUAUAUCACGACACUGUCAGCUCGUCGCUCU